CUAUAAUCGAACACGAAAUUUCAUUCUGUACUGCAGUUCUUAAUCUUGAAAAAUAUGUAGAUGGCAUCUUAACCCUUUAAACAAAGCAAUUUUGCUCGAACCCUUUCUACUACAAAAAACAGAACUGUUACCACCAUAUACAAAAUACAAUCUCAUAACCUUCAGCACAUCUAUGCGUUAAAAUACUAUCAUAUAAAUCAUCUUGCCCCACAAACCUUUAUGGAAAACAACCAGAAAUAUAAACUGUGGAAUCAGAUCCUCUUAUC
rnacentral:misc_RNA from 1 species